GACGAACGCUGGCGGCGUGCCUAAUACAUGCAAGUAGGACGCAGUUGCGAACGGGUGAGUAACGCGUAGGUAACUACCUAUUAGAGGGGGAUAACUAUUGGAAACGAUAGCUAAUACCGCAUACUAGUAGAUGGACCUGCGUUGUAUUAGCUAGUAGGUAGGGUAAUGGCCUAACUAGGCAACGAUACAUAGCCGACCUGGGAGGGGGAUCGGCCACACUGGGACUGGGACACGGCCCAGGCUCCUACGGGAGGCAGCAGUAGGGAAUCUUCGGCAAUGGGGGGAACCCUGACCGAGCAACGCCGCGUGGGGGAAGAAGGUUUUCGGGUGGUAAAGCCCGGUUGUUUAGGAAGCGGUACUUAACCAGAAAGGGACGGCUAACUACGUGCCAGCAGCCGCGGUAAUAC
rnacentral:rRNA from 1 species